rnacentral:rRNA from 1 species
CGAGGAGGUAGGGCUUACGCUCGCGUUUGUCUGUUAUAUCUUGGUGGACGAGUCGUCGCGGUUGGGACUGAGGUGCCUACAACGUGCUUUUGAGUGAGUUUGUGUCUCCGUGUGCGCCGUGUGCGGAUAGCUUGCUAUGUAUGUGCGGUUGUGUGUGGAUUGAUGCGGGCUUUAACUUGUCGCCGUUCGGGACGUUGACGAAAUGGAGCGAUCCGACCCGUCUUGAAACACGGACCAAGGAGUCUAACAUGUGUGCAAGUGUUAGGGUGUGGAAACCCCAGCGCGAAAUGAAAGUGAAGGGCAGCGCAAGUUGUCUGAGGUAGGAAACGUUGCGGGCUUCGGUCUGCGGCGUGGCACUAUCGACCGAUCAUGAACCUUCGUGGUGAAAGAUUUGAGUUUGAGCACAUAUGUUGGUACCCGAAAGAUGGUGAACUAUGCCUGAGUAGGGUGAAGCCAGGGGAAACUCUGGUGGAAGCUCGUAGCGAUUCUGACGUGCAAAUCGAUCGUCAAACUUGGGUAUAGGGGCGAAAGACUAAUCGAACCAUCUAGUAGCUGGUUCCCUCCGAAAUUUCCCUCAGGAUAGCAGCAACUUAUUUACGAUAGUUUUAUGAGGUAAAGCGAAUGAUUAGAGGAUUCGGGGAAGAAACUUCCUCGACCUAUUCUCAAACUUUAAAUCUGUAAGACCUGCAGGUUUCUUAAU